UACGUAGGGUGCAAGCGUUAAUCGGAAUUACUGGGCGUAAAGCGUGCGCAGGCGGUUGUGCAAGACAGAUGUGAAAUCCCCGGGCUCAACCUGGGAACUGCAUUUGUGACUGCACGGCUGGAGUGCGGCAGAGGGGGAUGGAAUUCCGCGUGUAGCAGUGAAAUGCGUAGAUAUGCGGAGGAACACCGAUGGCGAAGGCAAUCCCCUGGGCCUGCACUGACGCUCAUGCACGAAAGCGUGGGGAGC
rnacentral:rRNA from 1 species